rnacentral:rRNA from 1 species
CUGAAUAACUUCGCUGAUCACACAGUCUAGAACUGGUGACAUAUCUUUCAAGUGUCUGCCCUAUCAACUUUCGAUGGUAGUUUAUGUGCCUACCAUGGUGGUAACGGGUAACGGAGAAUAAGGGUUCGACUCCGGAGAGGGAGCCUGAGAAAUGGCUACCACAUCCAAGGAAGGCAGCAGGCGCGCAAAUUACCCAAUCUCAGUCCGAGGAGGUAGUGACGAAAAAUAACGAGACAGUUCUCUAUGAGGCCUGUCAUCGGAAUGGGUACAAUUUAAACCCUUUAACGAGGAUCUAUUGGAGGGCAAGUCUGGUGCCAGCAGCCGCGGUAAUUCCAGCUCCAAUAGCAUAUACCAAUUCUGUUGCUGUUAAAAA